UACGUAGGGGGCUAGCGUUGUCCGGAAUCAUUGGGCGUAAAGCGCGUGUAGGCGGUCCGGUAAGUCCGCUGUGAAAGUCGAGGGCUCAACCCUCGAAUGCCGGUGGAUACUGUCGGGCUAGAGGCAGGUAGGGGAGAGUGGAAUUCCCGGUGUAGCGGUGAAAUGCGCAGAUAUCGAGAGGAACACCAGUGGCGAAGGCGAGUCCCUGGACAGGUCCUGACGCUGAGGCACGAAAGCGUGGGGAGCAAACAGG
rnacentral:rRNA from 1 species